rnacentral:rRNA from 1 species
UGGGGAAUCUUGCGCAAUGGGCGAAAGCCUGACGCAGCGACGCCGCGUGCGGGAAGAAGGCCUUCGGGUUGUAAACCGCUUUCAGGAGGGACGAAGCCACUCGGGUUAAUACCCCAGAGGGUGACGGUACCUCCAGAAGAAGCCCCGGCUAACUACGUGCCAGCAGCCGCGGUAAUACGUAGGGGGCAAGCGUUGUCCGGAUUUAUUGGGCGUAAAGCGCGUGUAGGCGGCCAGGUAGGUCGGCUGUGAAAACUCGAGGCUCAACCUCGAGAUGUCGGCCGAAACCAUCUGGCUAGAGUCCGGAAGAGGAGAAUGGAAUUCCCGGUGUAGCGGUGAAAUGCGCAGAUAUCGGGAAGAACACCCGUGGCGAAGGCGGUUCUCUGGGACGGUACUGACGCUGAGACGCGAAAGCGUGGGGAGCGAACAG